GCAAUAGUAGCUUAAAAGAUAGCGUUGGUCUUGUAAGCCAAAGAUUGGGAGAACUACCCCUAUUGUUGCCCUCUGAGUAUGAUUAGUACAUUUGCCUUCCAAGCAGAAAGAUUAAGAAACCUUAAAGAGGGUAAUUAGGACAUAGCAUAAUUAAUGUUUUUCGCUUACACCGAAAAGAUGCUUGAUGAUGAGCUGUCUUAAAUAAAGGCUUUAUGUGCAGAAUUACUUAAAAAUUGAUUUUAGAAACAUCUAAUUACCUAGUAGUGGAGAAAGAAAAGUUAAAUAGCAAUCCAAGUACCGAGAGGGAAACUAUAAUUUUUAAAAAAUUAGCCAAACAUAGGCGUACUUUUUGCAUCACGGUCUAGCAAGAGAAUUUUUGGUCUAACAAAUAUCUCGAAGGUCAACGAGCUAUUUUUUUUUGGCAUUUUAGGGCCUAUACUAAGCUGUAAAUGUGGCAAAAUUUUAGCAAAAACUAAAAAUAGAAACGAGAUGUUACCCGCGUUGACGAUAGCUAGUUCUCUUGAAAAAACAUAAAAGUGUUGGAGUAAAGACGAUAGACUUGAAACAUUAUUUAGGUUUAUGUUUUACCGCUCACAUUAUUAAGGAUAAGCUUAAUAAUGGAAAAAUAACGUUAUGUAUAGAUCUUAAUAUUUUAGCGUAGGCUUGAAGCUAGCCAGCGCACUGAGUCUGUUAUAAGUCAAUAUUUUAAAAAAUAAAAGAUCUUUCUACAGAAAAUUUUUAGACAACGAGAGUAUAAGCUAUAACUACUUAGUUUUUUACAUAUGCUAGGAUGAGUAUUCCAGUUUAGCACCAAAGUGUGUGGUAAAGAACACUUAUUUGGCUAAAAACAUUUAUUAAUACUAAACAAGAAAAAGGAACUCGGCAAGUAUGAGCUUCGCCUGUUUAUCAAAAAACAUGGCUCCCUGCCAUUCGUGUAUAGGGAGUCGGACCUGCCCAGUGAAAUAUUUUAACGGCCGCGGUACUCUGACCGUGCAAAGGUAGCAUAAUCACUUGCCUUAUAAUUGAAGGCUGGUAUGAAUGGUUUGACGAAAGCACAACUGUCUCUCUCUUGUUUUAUAGAAAUUAACAUUUAGGUGAAGAGGCCUAGUUAAGAUUGAAGGACGAGAAGACCCUGUCGAGCUUUAGGAAAAAAAGGAGAUCUCUAUAUUUAUAAAUACAUGACCUUUCUUAUCCUUUAGUUGGGGCGACUAGGGAACAACAGAAGCUUCCCUUAUUUAUUAAAUUUGUGUAUUAGGAUCCAGUAAAGAUUACUGAAUAAAAAAAUUAGUUACCGCAGGGAUAACAGCAUUAUCCUUUUUGAGAGACCAUAUCGAAAGAAGGGGUUGUGACCUCGAUGUUGGACUAGGAUAUCCUGACGGUGCAGAAGCCU
rnacentral:misc_RNA from 1 species